rnacentral:lncRNA from 1 species
UUAUGACAAAUUUUCUAAUUUUAAAAUUUCAAAUGAUGGACUGUUUAGAUUUCAGAACCAAAUUUGGGUUCCUGUCGCUCUAAGGGUGGAUGUUCUCAAGACUACCUAUGCCUCCAAGCUAUCUAUCCAUCCCAGGAGUACCAAGAUGUACAGGGACUUGAAGUGUCAAUACAUGUUGCCAGGAAUGAAGAAGGAUAUAGUAGACUUUGUCAUAAGAAUUAUUGAUGUAGUAUA